GACGAACGCUGGCGGCGUGCUUAACACAUGCAAGUCGAACGGUAAGGCCCUUCGGGGUACACGAGUGGCGAACGGGUGAGUAACACGUGGGUGAUCUGCCCUGCACUUCGGGAUAAGCCUGGGAAACUGGGUCUAAUACCGGAUAGGACUCCGGCCUGCAUGGUCUGGGGUGGAAAGCUUUUGCUGUGUGGGAUGGGCCCGCGGCCUAUCAGCUUGUUGGUGGGGCGAUGGCCUACCAAGGCGACGACGGGUAGCCGGCCUGAGAGGGUGACCGGCCACACUGGGACUGAGAUACGGCCCAGACUCCUACGGGAGGCAGCAGUGGGGAAUAUUGCACAAUGGGCGCAAGCCUGAUGCAGCGACGCCGCGUGAGGGAUGACGGCCUUCGGGUUGUAAACCUCUUUCAGCAUCGACGAAGCGAAAGUGACGGUAGGUGCAGAAGAAGGACCGGCCAACUACGUGCCAGCCGCCGCAGUAA
rnacentral:rRNA from 1 species